rnacentral:lncRNA from 1 species
GGCUCAUCCCAUCUUCCUGUUUAUUUCUGAUGAGAGCAAUGACCGCGUCUGCACGGCGCGUCCCAGCCCUGCGUGCUCACAGCCACAUCCAGCCGGGCCCAGCUGUCCCUCGAGGGGAUGCCACGUAUCCCCCCCAGCCAUUGGGAUCCAUUGGGGUCUGGUUUUCCUCCACUCUGCGUCUCCCCAGCACGAUGGCUGUGCUCAGCCCCAGUGGCUGUGCAAAGCUUCUGUGUGGAACGAGAUUUAAAGCAGCGCAGCAAAGAGGUGAUAGAAAAACCAAACUCUAUUAAAAACCCAUUUUCUGCAGGACCACGAAGCCUUUUGGUGCCGCUGUCCUGGCCCUGCUGGGGCUGCUCGCAGCUGGCUGAGCAGAGGCAGGAAGAAGGCUGUGAGCACUGAGACACAUAGCUGUCCUCAACUCAGCAGGGCUUUCUGCCUUCCCUGAGCUGCCCUGGGUGUUUUGGGGCUAGUGGAGCACAGAAAUGUGUUGAUGCACCCAUGGGAAUGGGGGUCACCUGGGUACUUCUGGGUGCAGCCCAGCAUUCCUGCUGCAUAUCCUUCUCUAACAGAGCACAUUUCUGUGCAGGAGGAGGACAAACUCAGGCACAUCUUUUCUUCCUCCAACAUUAUUUCCUGUUCUUUUAUUAAAGCAAGAUGUUGCUGGCAGAUCUCAUGCUCCCUUCCCUGUUUUUCCAUCAAAUAACUCUGCAGAGGAACAUCUGGAAACAGCCAGUGAAUGGG